AGAUGCUCUAGCCCUCACUCUAGUUGCUGGGCAAUGGCUUAAUUUACUUAGGUGCUUGCUCCGGCCCUGUGGAGUGGGUUGCUCUUUGAGAGCUCAGUUUAGUUAGAAAACUACUGCUGCUCCAGACUUGACAAGGUGGAAUUGACUCCUCAGUUGAGUUCAGGAGCUCAUUCCCCCUUAGAAGCUUGGUUCAUCUCAGAAGUUUGCUCUAGUUUGGGAGUUCACUUCGGCUCUGAAACUUGCUCUACUUUAAGGAUCUGACUCCAGUCUGGAGAACUGGUAGCCUUUGCUUAAGGGUUGCUGUUAGAAGCGUUUCUACCCUUAACGAGGGGAAGCUGCUAUAGGAACGUUGUCACUCGUAUUAACAUGCUUCCUAUGCAAUCUGAAAUUGAAAUAAUUUAUUUUCUCUGUUUUUUAACACACUUCUGUUUUUUCCCUCCUCUCUUUCCUUCACUGCACCUGGAAGUCUAAGAUCCACAGCUCUCAUGCUAUGAUUACAGGGUGACACUGACACAGUCCUGUGACAUGAGGGUGCAGCUGCCACAGAAUCAUGCUUUUAUCUCACACAAGCUAUGCAAACGGGUGGCUCCCUGAGAGAUGGUCCCGUGUCUACAUCAGCAAUUCUCAACCUGGCAGUCACAGGCAGAGAGGAAAUGGGAGGGAGAAGAUAUGUUUGCAAUCCUGCCUCCUUUCACUCUCCAGUUUUCCAGUGAAGCAGAUUUGCUCUGUCACUCAGGACCAAAUGCCAGGAAUGCCCCAUAAACCAUUUGGUUAAUUUCAACAGUGCUUCCCUUGAAAACAUUAUAGAAAGUGGUGCAAAGGAUUUUGGGAUAGCAUCUGAGGAGGAGCUGUUGUGAAUGGCAGCAACUGGAGGUCUUGGGACACAAAGAUUAAGCACCCCUGUUUCAUGAUGAGGGGGUCUUCCCUUCAGAGGUAGUCACUGCUGCCCCUGCAAGGGCUACAGAACCACGGUUAAGUGACACAAGGAUUGCCUGGGUGCCAAUGCCUCUACAGCCUUUCCAGACUGAGGGUAUGUCUACACUACGAAAUUAGGUUGAAUUUAUAGAAGCUGGUUUUAUAGAUAUUGGUUUUAUACAGUCGAUUGUGUGUGUCCCCACAUAAAAUGCUCUAAGUGCAUUAAGUCGGCAGACCGUGUCCACAGUACUGAGGCUAGCGGCGACUUCCGGAGCAUUGCACUGUGGGUAGCUAUCCCACAGUUCCCACAGUCUCCGCCGCCCAUUGGAAUUCUG
rnacentral:lncRNA from 1 species